rnacentral:rRNA from 1 species
CCUACGGGAGGCAGCAGUGGGGAAUUUUGGACAAUGGACGCAAGUCUGAUCCAGCCAUGCCGCGUGCGGGAAGAAGGCCUUCGGGUUGUAAACCGCUUUUGUCAGGGAAGAAACGGCUCGGGUUAAUACCUUGGGCUAAUGACGGUACCUGAAGAAUAAGCACCGGCUAACUACGUGCCAGCAGCCGCGGUAAUACGUAGGGUGCAAGCGUUAAUCGGAAUUACUGGGCGUAAAGCGUGCGCAGGCGGUUAUGCAAGACAGAUGUGAAAUCCCCGGGCUCAACCUGGGAACUGCAUUUGUGACUGCAUGGCUAGAGUACGGUAGAGGGGGAUGGAAUUCCGCGUGUAGCAGUGAAAUGCGUAGAUAUGCGGAGGAACACCGAUGGCGAAGGCAAUCCCCUGGACCUGUACUGACGCUCAUGCACGAAAGCGUGGGGAGCAAACAGGAUUAGAUACCCUGGUAGUCCACGCCCUAAACGAUGUCAACUGGUUGUUGGGAGGGUUUCUUCUCAGUAACGAAGCUAACGCGUGAAGUUGACCGCCUGGGGAGUACGGCCGCAAGGUUGAAACUCAAAUGAAUUGACGG